AUUGUCUUUGUUAGUCCUGAUGUCUGUGUCAGUGAUUCUUUUAGGUUUGGACCUUGACCGAGAGAAUUUCCAGUCGGUCUCUCGUCUCUCGUCUCUCGUCUCUCGUCUCCGGACGGACAGAAGUUCCAGAUGAUCCGAUGGGUGGGGGGGGGUCUUAGGCUGUGUGCCCCCAGGGGCCCUGGUCGAUUAGUUGUGGGGAUCGCCUGGGAGGGCGCGGUGACCCACUGUGCUGUGGGGGCCUCCAUCCUUCCGCCUCCCGCCUCCCCCUCCAGGCGAUCCCAAUUCAUUCCAGGCUGACAGUCUCAUUGGCAGACGUCGGGCAUCACCUAGCGGCCACUGUUACUCUGAAAAUGGAGGCCUCAACAGAGGAAGGAAGCUCAGGCCGCCUGCGCACAGCCUGGGGCAACUGUGUCUUCUCCACCGCCCCCGCCCCCACCUCCAAGCUCCCCCCUUCUUGGUUGCCUAGGAAAUGGCCACUUUGACGACUGGGCCGGAGUGACCUUUGAUCAGGCAGCAUAAAUAAAAACGAGAGAGAAGGUCUUCAUGAAACAGCUUUCUGAUGUGUGGAUUCCUCAUACAGAGUUAAAACUGCCUUUGGAUUCAGCAGUUUGGAAGCAGAAUGGACAUUUGGGAGCCCAUUGGGGCCUAUUGUGAGAAAGCGAACAUCCCCACCCCAGAAAUAAUAAAGCAGCUCUCUAUGAUACUGCUUUGUGAUGUGUGGAUUCAUGCCACAGAAUUACAACCAAUUUUUGAUUUAGGAGGUUUGAAGCAGUCUUUCUGUAGAAUCCGCGAAUAUACCUUUGGGAGCCCAUUGAGGCCUACUGUGAAAAACCGAAUAUCCCCAAAUAAAAACUAGAAAGAA